AGUGAACGCUGGCGGUAGGCCUAACACAUGCAAGUCGAACGGCAGCACAGUAAGAGCUUGCUCUUACGGGUGGCGAGUGGCGGACGGGUGAGGAAUACAUCGGAAUCUACUUUUUCGUGGGGGAUAACGUAGGGAAACUUACGCUAAUACCGCAUACGACCUACGGGUGAAAGCAGGGGAUCUUCGUACCUUGCGCGAUUGAAUGAGCCGAUGUCGGAUUAGCUAGUUGGCGGGGUAAAGGCCCACCAAGGCGACGAUCCGUAGCUGGUCUGAGAGGAUGAUCAGCCACACUGGAACUGAGACAAGGUCCAGACUCCUACGGGAGGCAGCAGUGGGGAAUAUUGGACAAUGGGCGCAAGCCUGAUCCAGCCAUACCGCGUGGGUGAAGAAGGCCUUCGGGUUGUAAAGCCCUUUUGUUGGGAAAGAAAAGCAGCAGGUUAAUACCCCGCUGUUCUGACGGUACCCAAAGAAUAAGCACCGGCUAACUUCGUG
rnacentral:rRNA from 1 species